rnacentral:rRNA from 1 species
GUGUCAGCAGCCGCGGUAAUACGUAGGGUGCGAGCGUUGUCCGGAUUUAUUGGGCGUAAAGCGCGCGUAGGCGGUUUUUUAAGUCUGAUGUGAAAGCCCACGGCUCAACCGUGGAGGGUCAUUGGAAACUGGAAAACUUGAGUGCAGAAGAGGAAAGUGGAAUUCCAUGUGUAGCGGUGAAAUGCGCAGAGAUAUGGAGGAACACCGGUGGCGAAAGCGGCUCUCUGGUCUGUAACUGACGCUGAGGCUCGAAAGCGUGGGGAGCAAACAGGAUUAGAAACCCCUGUAGUCC